AUUUUUUUCUUCAGAUCUACUACCUAACAGGCAACAUAACAAUACUUUUAACUUUUUCUUUUUCUUUUCUCUUUUUAAACACAUUUUAUUUCCACUGUGUAAAGGUAAGACAUAAAAGUUGGCAUCACAGAAUCAUGCGAGCCAACAUCUUGGGCAACAAAAUGAGAAAUUCAUUCCACUGAGCAGGAGAAAAUGGUGUGUAACGGAUAUCAAUUUCAUGGGUAGUACACCACUCUGAAUUUUUAAGUGCAGCCUCUCAGGUAAUGUAAUAAAAAUAAAUAAACAAAUAGGUUUUGCCUCCAAACAUCAUACAGGAAAUAUUGUUUAAUAAUGUACUAACAUUCAUCUUCUCUUGCCAUAUUCUCAUUGUGUUUACAUUGAUUUGAUGUACAAGGCAGCUGUAGUAUUUCACAUCUGCCAGAAUUCAAGAGUAUAAAGUAGUGGUAAAAUGCACAUUAAAACCAAAUGAUCCCUGCAAUAUAGAAAGAAACAUGGAUAAUGCUAUUGUCUAAUGGCUGAGUCUAAAGACCAAGAGAUAUUUGCAGGCCGGUCAGACACUGGGGUUUACUGGAAGCCCACUUAGAGACCCGAUGCCAAACCACAGAGCAGUGAGGCCCCCUGUGUGCCCCGGGGUGGGCUGACUUCAGCUGAAGCUGACUUCUCAGGACCCAAACUGAAGGUGCUGAUCCCCGUAGGCAGUGUGGAGAGUGAGACGCCAAGGCUGUUGAGGGACAACAUGCAAAAGAAGGAGCACAGAGGUUGAUGGAGAUGUUUGUCUUUUAUGACGCAGAAAGGUGCAGUUCUCAGCAGUGGAACUGGAAACGGUGGAGAGGGGGCAGCAGAGGAGGCGACACCAGAGGUGGACAGCCUCCACGCUGUCACUGAAAGAAGGACACAGACCACUUCCAAGGAGUUGUCUUCUCCAGGCUACAAGACCAGGCUCCUGGUUUCAGCGACAAGGAUGAGGGAUAGUCCCAGUGCAGAGCAGCUUCUGCCCUGGGUAGGCAAAGAAAUGAGACCUGCGGUUUGUCACCCUCCUGGGCUCAGGGAAGCCUAUAGCCUUACCUCCUGGUCCUAACGGGGACACCUGCACAGUGGGAUGUGAUUCUGCUCCGCAAGAUGGCAGAAAUCCCACCAGUGCUACUUUAAUGAGAAUGAAAUGGCAAGCUGCUGACUCAU
rnacentral:lncRNA from 1 species